rnacentral:rRNA from 1 species
CCCUUAGACGUUCUGGGCCGCACGCGCGCUACACUGACCAGUGCAACAAGCAUCCGUCCUUGGCCGACAGGCCCGGGCAAUCUUUGAACGCUGGUCGUGAUGGGGAUAGACUUUUGCAAUUUUUGGUCUUCAACGAGGAAUUCCUAGUAAACGCAAGUCAUCAACUUGCAUUGAUUACGUCCCUGCCCUUUGUACACACCGCCCGUCGCGCCUACCGAUUGAAUGGUCCGGUGAAGCCUCCGGAUUGGCGCGCACCUCGGUGCCGCCGAGAAGUUGGCUAAACCUUACCAUUUAGAGGAAGGUGAANUCGUAACA